rnacentral:lncRNA from 1 species
UCGGCAUAAUACACUUUAAUCGCCUGAACUACUGCGGAGCGAGUGGGAUGUCAUUAAGUAGACUAUCGUAGUGGUAGAGUUUGAAGAAUCAUUCGGGUGGAGGCUGCAGUUGAGACAUGCACUGAUGUUACUGGAUUGUCCCUCUUGUAACUCUAACAUCAACCCUUACAUCAACGAAGACAAUUGGUCGUGUUUGGCGUCGUAUUGAUGAAGAGGCACACAAAGAAAGGAGAAGCUAUGUGGCUACUGGUUGCAGUCAUCCGCGAGUGUCAGAAACUCCCUAUCACUUCAGAGGCUGAAAAAUGCUUUAGAGCAAAGGUUCCGAAGCUGGACUGCAGAGGAAAGCAGCGAUUCUGUCAGCAGGAGCAGCGGGAGCACUGGCAGACAGAACCCAGUCUUUCUGCUUACUGGCAGUGUCCAUCCGUCUUGACCCGGUGUGGAUAAGAUAUCUGCCACAACCCGCACCGCCCUCAGCUUGGGCUCCUUCCCCAAUCAGUCACCUGACGGCGGCUGGAGCCGGUGAGAAAGCGCCCGAUGCCUGGCGCCACGGAGCGAGUGAGAGCUGGUGAUUACUGCUGAGUCACAGUUUAUGUCAGAGUUAGCAUCGUUAAACCAGGGCUUUAUCUGUCCGCAUAUACCAGCAAUAAGAGCGGUCACGCUGCAGCACUUGUCCUUGUUACAUUACCUGUGAUUCAGUCAGAUCAAGAUUUCACUUUUGGUAUGUGCCAGUUUGCACAUCUGUUUGAGUUUGAUGAAAAAAUGGAUAAAAUAACAAAUUGGAGAUAACAGCCUCCAGGUUUCUUUGAUCUCUGCUACUGUAAGAGUUGCUCACACUGUUGCCACAAUUAUAUUCC